GAUAAGGGUGGCGCAGUAUCCUAGUCGGAACGAUUGAUUCCCAGGACGGGCCUAAAAAUCCGUUAAAGGGCACAUCGAUGAAGUCCCUGGUGCUGGCUUCCGACGCCCAGUCGGGGGUUUGUGCUGGGGGUUAAGGUUUAGGGGCGGACUGCAAUGGCAUGCAGUGCCCGACCCCUUUUCCGCGGAGACCUAUUCUCGUGCCGUGACAGUGCUUGCAAUAUGCGACACAGGGCGGUACGGCUUAGGAUUAAACCUGUGUAGCGGUGCACAUUUGCGCUGUUUGCAGAGUAGCCUGCCUUGAGUGGGCAUGAAGGAUAGCGGAUCAGACUUUCCUAUGUUGGCCGACAUUUGAAAGUUAUUGCUGCUUGAAACCAUGUCUGCAAAAGAGGAUAAGAAUCAAUUAUACCGCCGAGGAAAUCUCCUAGGCUGUUCACUAAAUGAGAAGCGCGGAGGAUUGCAGUGCGGACUAAGUGGCGAUCCGGUUUCGGCAGAAAUGCCGGGUAUUGUUUAAUGGGAAACCUCCCGGAGCGGCAACGCGCGGGCACAAAUGCGGGAAAGCCUACCGGACCUAUGCCGCAGAUUUUACUUCACGCUUUGCCCCCUUUUUUAUUUU
rnacentral:sRNA from 1 species